rnacentral:snRNA from 1 species
CGGCCCUGGUUUUUCUUCAUAACGAAUAAAUUUUUCACCUUUUACUAAAGAUUUCCGUGGGGGAGGAGCUAAUUGUGAGUUUGUCACCGAAUUUUUUGGUAUGUCCUGCUCAGGCAGGACU